rnacentral:tRNA from 1 species
GCGCCCGUGGCUCAAUGGAUAGAGUAGCGGCCUCCGACGCCGUUGGUUGCAGGUUCGACUCCUGUCGGGCGCGCCA